AUUACCGAGUUAGGGUCUCACCGGCCCGAUCUCCCAACCCUUUGUCUACUUGACCAUCGUUGCUUCGGCGAGCCCGUCCUCACGGACCGCCGGGGGGUCUUUGUACCCCUUGGCCCGCGCUCGUCGACAGCCCCCAAAUUUAAAAAUCUUAACUAAACGUGUCUUGAAUCUAAGUAUUAUUGUUAAAUAAAAACAAAACUUUCAACAACGGAUCUCUUGGUUCUGGCAUCGAUGAAGAACGCAGCGAAAUGCGAUAAGUAAUGCGAAUUGCAGAAUUCCAGUGAGUCAUCGAAUCUUUGAACGCACAUUGCGCCCUUUGGUAUUCCGAAGGGCAUGCCUGUUCGAGCGUCAUUAUCACCCCUCAAGCCCUCGGCUUGGUGUUGGACGGUUUGGUGGAGACCCCCUUUGCGGGCUUCUACCCCUCCCAAAGACAAUGACGGCGGCCUCGUUGGACCCCCGGUACACUGAGUUCUUCACGGGACACGUAUCGGACACAUGGGUUCACGGGACACGGUCUGCCUCCCCUCAGGGAGAAUCUUUUUUUAUCAAGGUUGACCUCGGAUCAGGUAGGGAUACCCGCUGAACUUAAGCAUAUCAAUAAGCGGAGGAAAAGAAACCAACAGGGAUUGCCUCAGUAACGGCGAGUGAAGCGGCAACAGCUCAAAUUUGAAAUCUGGCCUCUUUGGGGUCCGAGUUGUAAUUUGUAGAGGAUGUUUCGGGUACCGCCUCGGUUUAAAUUUCUUGGAAC
rnacentral:rRNA from 1 species